GAUGAACGCUGGCGGCGUGCCUAAUACAUGCAAGUCGAACGCACAGCGAAAGGUGCUUGCACCUUUCAAGUGAGUGGCGAACGGGUGAGUAACACGUGGACAACCUGCCUCAAGGCUGGGGAUAACAUUUGGAAACAGAUGCUAAUACCGAAUGAAACUUAGUGUCGCAUGAUACGAAGUUAAAAGGCGCUUUGGCGUCACCUAGAGAUGGAUCCGCGGUGCAUUAGUUAGUUGGUGGGGUAAAGGCCUACCAAGACAAUGAUGCAUAGCCGGGGUGAGAGACUGAUCGGCCACAUUGGGACUGAGACACGGCCCAAACUCCUACGGGAGGCUGCAGUAGGGAAUCUUCCACAAUGGGCGAAAGCCUGAUGGAGCAACGCCGCGUGUGUGAUGAAGGCUUUCGGGUCGUAAAGCACUGUUGUAUGGGAAGAACAGCUAGAAUAGGGAAUGAUUUUAGUUUGACGGUACCAUACCAGAAAGGGACGGCUAAAUACGUGCCAGCCGCCGCUGUAA
rnacentral:rRNA from 1 species